UACAGAGGGUGCAAGCGUUAAUCGGAAUUACUGGGCGUAAAGGGCGCGUAGGUGGUUAAUUAAGUAAGUUGUGAAAUCCCCGGGCUUAACCUGGGAAUUGCAAUUUAAACUGGUUGACUGGAGUACAUGAGAGGGUAGUGGAAUUUCCGGUGUAGCGGUGAAAUGCGUAGAUAUCGGAAGGAACACCAGUGGCGAAGGCGACUACCUGGCAUGAUACUGACACUGAGGCGCGAAAGCGUGGGGAGCAAACAGG
rnacentral:rRNA from 1 species